GGCAGCUGACGCGCUUCGGCGCACCCAGAAACCCUUUGUGAACUUAUACCUUACUGUUGCCUCGGCGCAGGCCGGCCUCACUGAGGCCCCUCGGAAACGAGGAGCAGCCCGCCGGCGGCCAACCAAACUCUUGUUUCUUAGUGAAUCUCUGAGUAAAAAAAAACAUAAAUGAAUCAAAACUUUCAACAACGGAUCUCUUGGUUCUGGCAUCGAUGAAGAACGCAGCGAAAUGCGAUAAGUAAUGUGAAUUGCAGAAUUCAGUGAAUCAUCGAAUCUUUGAACGCACAUUGCGCCCUCUGGUAUUCCGGAGGGCAUGCCUGUUCGAGCGUCAUUUCAACCCUCAAGCAUUGCUUGGUGUUGGGGCACCGCCUGUAAAAGGGCGGGCCCUGAAAUCUAGUGGCGAGCUCGCCAGGACCCCGAGCGUAGUAAUUAUAUUUCGUUCUGGAAGGCCCUGGCGGUGCCCUGCCGUUAAACCCCCAACUUCUGAAAAUUUGACCUCGGAUCAGGUAGGAAUACCCGCUGAACUUAAGCAUAUCAAUAACCGGAGGAA
rnacentral:rRNA from 1 species